rnacentral:lncRNA from 1 species
AUGCAGUCGUACCGAAUUUAUACUUUUGAAAGCUAUUGUAUAUUUCUGUCAAGUCACGCAAUAUGUUUUUAAUUAGUGUGACUUUCUAAUGGACUUUAUUGGUUUUAAUUAAACGCCAUGCAAUUUCAAACACCUUUUCAUUUAUUCUGGGCCACUGUUUGAUCACCUUUCAAUUUUGAACCAAUUUCCAGGCAACAUCACCAUAAUCAUUACCAAAUUUGAAGAUUUAACGUUUUACUAAACAACGUAAGCUAACCUUAUAUGUAUCGUAAAUACUUCAUUUUCUCAUAACGUUUCAUAAUAUAAUACAGUGAGUCAAAUCAAGCGUUUUCAUAACUUAAUUUAACAUCUCAUGGUCCUAUUUAGAACACGAAAACAAAAAAAGAGACUCCUAGUUUUGCCUAUGCCGGAUUUUUUUUAUAUUAAAUUGUAAAUAUUUCACCAAAUGGAACAAUUUUAAUUUUUUUUUAGCUGUAAACAAAAAAAAAACUUUAACGAAAAACUCUCGGUACUGUUCAUUUUAACGAAAAACCAUAUUUUAAUACUAAAAAAUCAAUUCUAAUAAAACUCAAAGUUUUCAAACAAAAAUAAACAUCAUGCUUACAAAACAGAGAAAAAUAAAAUUACGUAGAAAACCUGGAGUGAAGAGUCUUUAAACCGCAACCGCAGCUCACGGCGUUGAAAAUAAGAUUCCGUCGUCGCUUGUCCGAGACUGCAAGUACCCAACUGCCACCUGGGCCCCCACCAUGCCCUAAUCAAACCCUCUGGCUUUUUUCCACGAAUUGUUUUCCAUUUUCCGGCAAUCUUCCUCGUAACUUCCAUUUUUCCCUUUCGAUUUCAGCUGUCCCUGUCUUUGACUGGUUAAACCAAGCAGGA